AAUCCGUUUGCAGAGUGAAACCGGAAGUUGCGACUCUAAACUCUCUGCUCUAAUGUGACGUUCGGAAAAACAGAGCUCUCAUUGGAUAUCGCUCAUUAUUCUGAUUGGUUAUAUUUCAAUCCAAUCUCAAUUCUAAUCCUAAUCCGCAGGGUGAUUAUGGCUUUAGGCCAUGUUUCCUCUGUACGAUAAAGUGAGAAAGAAAUAGUGUCAAGUGUCAAAUCAACUAUCUCACUCGCAACUUCCGGCUUUACUCGCUGCACUAGUUUCUUUUUCCUUCCAAUGUAAAGUAAAAAAAAGAUAAAUUCUGAAAUAGUGCAGCUAGUUCAGUUAAAAAAAAUAGACUUAUAUUUUACGUCAGAUACAAAUGUACUCACAAAUGUCAGACCGGUUUUUCGCACAUGCACGUUCUUUUUUUUUUUAAUAUAUUUUAGAUACUUAUCGAUAUAUCGUGUUCGUUAAACAUGUGCAAAAAAUUCAACUCGCCAGUCAACGCUGUUUAUGAAUAGUGAUGGCAAUUAGAACGAUUAUUAUUCAGAAAAAAUUGUAUAGAUGUAAUAAAUGCAUAAAGAAAUUAAUCAAUUAGAUUUAUAAUAAUAUAUAAGAUUUACAAUUACCAUAUUGCUACUUAUACCAUCGUUGAUUAUGGAUUUUUUCACUUUGAUAUUUGUAACAGGAAUCAGUGAUUUUUUUCUCUUUCUUUAUAUACAAAAAAGUAUAAAUAAAAAUUUUGUUAAUUCAAAGAAAAAUACAUUGAUUGUACAAGAGGUAAUUUAUAUAAUUGCUUGACCUGAGCCAAAUAAUAUAUACGUUACACAUCCUACAAUAUCAAUAAUAGCAAUAAGUAAAAAGACUAUGGACCAGCUAUGUGUCAAAUGUAUCGCACCAACAGUAUUCAUCAGACCAAAUACACUUCCAGCAUGUUUUGGUGCAAGAUCCGAAGGAUUUACAGCAAUAGCAUUAUUAUGAAAGCCUGAACCACCAAUAAUCAGUGCAAGACACAAUACUGCACUUUGAAAGCUUUUCACUUUUGCUGCAGAGAGAGAAAUAAAAAUGAAAAUUGAUUUGAUUUUACUUCUACUGUCAGUUCUCAACCCACUUUUAAUAAAACAGCAUUGCAAUUAUAAAAAAUUGUGUGUAUAUAGAAUAUAAAUAUUUGUGCAAUAGAAAUUAAAUACUACAUAAAGACUUA